UGCCUGGUCAGAUGUCAAAGACGCAAGACUCAAACUCCUGAAGAUUUGACAUAAUAUGUGCCCAUUGAUCAGGGAUCAGAGACCACAGAGCGCAGAUUACUGGCUGUUAAUGGAAUCCUGUAAUGCAGCAACAGAUCAGAAUCCCGUUAUGUUCAUGUCCUAGUUUACCGGUUUGUUCCCUCGGUGAUGGCUCUUGGACUCAGGAAGAAGAAUGUCAGCUUCACAGCAACUGUCUUACAAGAAACCCACCACUAAGCAAUAAAAAAGUAUCUUCUGCUUUCUUGUCCAACAGGCCAAAUGCCUGUAUCUUUCAGUUUUUAAUUAAAAGUUCUCUUAUCAAUCAAACUGUUAAUGUGUACUUCUGUGGAUAAUUGUUGAGCAGAGGAUGGUGUGCAUAGAAAUUCGCUUGUGUGGAGGGAGAUUACAAACCAAUUUGCAG
rnacentral:lncRNA from 1 species